rnacentral:rRNA from 1 species
GUACACUCCUACGGGAGGCAGCAGUGGGGAAUAUUGGACAAUGGGCGCAAGCCUGAUCCAGCCAUGCCGCGUGAGUGAUGAAGGCCCUAGGGUUGUAAAGCUCUUUCACCGGUGAAGAUAAUGACGGUAACCGGAGAAGAAGCCCCGGCUAACUUCGUGCCAGCAGCCGCGGUAAUACGAAGGGGGCUAGCGUUGUUCGGAUUUACUGGGCGUAAAGCGCACGUAGGCGGACUAUUAAGUCAGGGGUGAAAUCCCGGGGCUCAACCCCGGAACUGCCUUUGAUACUGGUAGUCUUGAGUUCGAGAGAGGUGAGUGGAAUUCCGAGUGUAGAGGUGAAACUCGUAGAUAUUCGGAGGAACACCAGUGGCGAAGGCGGCUCACUGGCUCGAUACUGACGCUGAGGUGCGAAAGCGUGGGGAGCAAACAGGAUGAGAUACCCUGGUAGUCCCAUG